rnacentral:tRNA from 1 species
GUAGAUAUAGCUUAGUAGUAGAGCCACAUGCUUAGCAUGCACAAGGUCCUGGGUUCAAUUCCUAGUACCUCCA